AGUGAGCUACUUUAAAGCAGCUAUUAGAGCUAACCCGUCUCUGUCGCAAAAGAGUGGGGUGACUUUAAAGUAGAGGUGAUAGACCUACCGAACUUAGAGAUAGCUGGUUUUUUAAGAAAAGAAUUUUAGUUCAGCCCCAAGCCUUUCGUUAAGCAAAAAACCUUCUUAGGCCUGGGAGUCAUUCAUAUAGGGCACAGCCUAUUUGAAACAGGAUACAACCUAGAAUAUAGGGUAAAACAAUGUGAUUUUUCUAUAAGUGGGCUUGAAAGCAGCCACCUUUCAAAAAGCGUUGUAGCUUAUUGAUACUGAUUAUUUAAUAACCUCAAAAAUGUUUAACCCACACACACUAUUAAACUAUCCCAUAAAUUUAUGGGAGCUAUCAUGCUAGAACAAGUAACAAGAAAAAGAUUUUUCUCCAAAAUACAAGCUUUAGCCGCUACAGACAAACUACCGGCAAUUAACGCCUUUUAACUAAUUUAGUAACUCUAACAAGAAAACCCUAUA
rnacentral:rRNA from 1 species